rnacentral:rRNA from 1 species
AACGAACGCUGGCGGCAUGCCUAACACAUGCAAGUCGAACGGGAUCCGGACUUCGGUUCGGUGAGAGUGGCGGACGGGUGAGUAACGCGUGGGAACCUGCCCAGUGGUGGGGGAUAACUGCGGGAAACUGCAGCUAAUACCGCAUGAGCCCGAGAGGGGAAAGAUUUAUCGCCAUUGGAGGGGCCCGCGUUCGAUUAGGUAGUUGGUGAGGUAACGGCUCACCAAGCCGACGAUCGAUAGCUGGUCUGAGAGGAUGAUCAGCCACACUGGGACUGAGAUACGGCCCAGACUCCUACGGGUGGCUG